rnacentral:rRNA from 1 species
GAUUAACGCUGGCGGCAUGCCUAAUACAUGCAAGUCGAACGGAAGCAGCAAUGCUUUAGUGGCGAACGGGUGAGUAACACGUAGGGAACCUACCUAUACGACGAGGAUAACUACUGGAAACGGUAGCUAAAACUGGAUAGGAUCAAUUGAGGCAUCUUGAUUGAUUUAAAGAUCCUUCGGGAUUACGUAGAGAUGGCCCUGCGGCGCAUUAGCUAGUUGGUGAGGUAACGGCCCACCAAGGCGACGAUGCGUAGCUGAGCUGAGAGGCUAAACAGCCACACUGGGACUGAGACACGGCCCAGACUCCUACGGGAGGCAGCAGUAGGGAAUUUUCGGCAAUGGGGGAAACCCUGACCGAGCAAUGCCGCGUGAACGAUGAAGGUCUUCGGAUUGUAAAGUUCUGUGAUUGGGGAAGAAUGGUAUUCUUAGGGAAUGAGGAGUACAUGACGGUACCCGAUUAGAAAGCCCCGGCUAACCUAUGUGCCAGCAGCCGCGGUAAA